UGUGUGUGUGUGUGUGUGUGUAGGCACACACACACACACACACACACACA
rnacentral:miRNA from 1 species